rnacentral:tRNA from 1 species
UUUGCACACCCGAUUUUGGGUCUGUAGCUCAGUUGGUUAGAGCGCACCCCUGAUAAGGGUGAGGUCGGCAGUUCGAAUCUGCCCAGACCCACCAGUUACCUGGUGAAGUUGGUCAGAGCGCGUACGACACCCGGAUACGGGGCCAUAGCUCAGCUGGGAGAGCGCCUGCCUUGCACGCAGGAGGUCAGCGGUUCGAUCCCGCUUGGCUCCACCACUUACUGCUUCUGUUUGAAAGCUUAGAAAUGAGCAUUCCAUCCUGAUUGAAGGGUGCGUGAAUGUUGAUUUCUAGUCUUUGAUUAGAUCGUUCUUUAAAAAUUUGGGUAUGUGAUAGAAAGAAAUAUAGACCGGGCACCUCUUUCACUGGUGCGUGUCCGGGCUAAGGUAAAGUUUGUGAAAUGCAAACUUUCGGCGAAUGUCGUCUUCACAGUAUAACCAGAUUGCU